AUUGAACGCUGACGGCAUGCUUUACACAUGCAAGUCGAACGGUAACAGGCCGCAAGGUGCUGACGAGUGGCGAACGGGUGAGUAAUGCAUCGGAACGUGCCCAGUCGUGGGGGAUAACGCAGCGAAAGCUGCGCUAAUACCGCAUACGAUCUAUGGAUGAAAGCGGGGGACCGUAAGGCCUCGCGCGAUUGGAGCGGCCGAUGUCAGAUUAGGUAGUUGGUGGGGUAAGGGCUCACCAAGCCAACGAUCUGUAGCUGGUCCGAGAGGACGACCAGGCACACUGGGACUGAGACACGGCCCAGACUCCUACGGGAGGCAGCAGUGGGGAAUUUUGGACAAUGGGCGCAAGACUGAUCCAGCAAUGCCGCGUGCAGGAAGAAGGCCUUCGGGUUGUAAACUGCUUUUGUACGGAACGAAAAGGCUCUGGUUAAUACCUGGGGCUCAUGACGGUACCGUAAGAAUAAGCACCGGCUAACUACGUGCCAGCAGCCGCGGUAAUAC
rnacentral:rRNA from 1 species